GGCCCGCGCACGUAGGGACGCAGGGGGCGCUCCUCGCGCCGCGCAUGCGCGCUGGAGCUGCUGCGGUCCUGCCCCUCUGGUCAAGUCAGAGGCGGGUCUUGCAGCCCUGACGCUUUGGUUAUGCGGAGGGUGGUUUUGUGCAGGUGACAGCUUUUCGGUCUGCCCUCCACAUACGAACUCUCGAUAACUUUCAAGAGCCAGGUGAGAAGAGGGCAGUGUUAUACUAGGAGAAACCACUUGGAGAUAAUGCCAGGUGCUUUUCGGUGUGAUUUGCAGGAAAUUCUCCCACCAGAGACCCGUAUUAUGCCUGGCAUACAGGAGGCAUUCAGAACAUUUGAUGACUAGAAGUGUGUGUCUAUCUCAAUGACACAGGUCUCUAAAACCCUUGCUGACAGUGUUUGGACCAAGAGGCUGGCAGCUAUGAUGGGAGCUCUGGUAGAAGGAAUUUCAGCUCACACAAUUUCCUCCAGAACCAGGAUCUGCAAAGAGGAUCCCUUUCACAGAGAAAUAAGUAAACAGGAAAUUUUAACAAGACAGCCAGUGUUUUAUGCUUAAACGGAUUAACAGGAAGACAACAAAGGAGUUCUGUGCUGAUGAUUGCUUUAUUUCUGGCCUUUCUAGAAACAAACAAACAAAAAUC
rnacentral:lncRNA from 1 species